GAAAUAUAAAUAAUAAUAGCUGCUAACUAAUUAUAUAAUGGUUAAAAUCCAUUAAUAUUUCU
rnacentral:tRNA from 1 species